CCCCCCCCGAGCAUUACCCCAGAGCUUUGCAUUUGUAAUUAAAUCAUAAAACCACAACAACUGCAAAUUUAGUUUUCAAAACGAGCGGCGCGAGGCUGUCAUCUAAGGAACCGGGUGCGUUCCAGGUGUCAUUUUAUCUAUUUAUUUUAUGUGAAGAUGAGAAAAGUUGUACUGUGACACUCAGGAGAUUACAAGUUUCAGCAGGUACGGACGCAUUUAGUGCCGCUUGUAUACCAGCACUCGUUUUAACGUUGUGGCUUGUAGUUCAAGUACAACACUGGAAUAUACUACAGAUCGCCUUUAGCUUGGCGUCUAGAACAGAUUUAAUACUUUUUAUUCUGCCCUUUUCCACUGUUCCAUUUUCUGCAUGAAGCUUAAAUAACGUGUCUGUGCUCUGUAGUUUUUCUUCUUUGCCACGACCCGCCUCUCCUUGUCCUCCUGAUAUGUUGUCACCAUUCACCUCUGAUUACUUUGCCCUCGCGAACAAGUGUUGAAUUAAAUGCCUAAUUUAACACGGGCCUUUUGUUGGCCGCUCUCUUUGUCGGGAGUCUCUUUCUAAACGGGCGGUGUUGUGGACGGCCUGUGGGAGACGCUCGGCCUCCUCUCAUUGUGCCCCAGGGGCGGGGGGGGGGGGGCACCGCGUCCUUGGGCAAGGCAGCAGAGCCGUCAGCUCCCUCUGUCACACUUUAUCUGCAGGCAGGACGCGGCCAGCCCUCGGGACACAGCUAGGGGUCCUCAAAGACCCCGGGGCCUUGCCGCUAAUCUCCGAGGAUGCCUACCGCGGGGUUGUUUAGCAACCGCCUCUGCCUCACGGCGUUUGUGUUUGGACGCCGUGUGACGGAGCGCUUGAUGCGAAGGUUACGGCAAAACUAUCCAAACAACACGAUGGGCACUUUUGUUGCUCACUGAAGAGGCGGCGCGAUCAGGAGAGCCCACUGCGCGUCCUUUGAGGCCCCCGAGUCAUGGGAAGAACAACGAGUACCCUCACAAGCACCACGUGAAGCUUCUCAGGAGGUGUCACCAAAAGGUUACUGAGAUGUUUCCUUGUUAAAUUGAACUAAAAUGCUUUAUUUUGUAUUAAAUUUAGUUUAGUUUUUUCAGCCGUUCCUAGAUUCUUAAUUCUUAUUUUAGAACGAUUUGUGGGGUCUACAAAAUGUGAUAAAUAAAUAAGGGGAAAAUCAGGAAGGAAUGCCGUCUCGCACCGGAGUGAAAAAUUGUUGUCCGAGCGGCGCGGUGAAAAUGAUCCAGAGGCCCGGCAGUGGUUGGAAGCACUGACAUCGUCAAGUAGGAGAUAAACGUCAUAAACGGUAAAUUUCUGGUGCUUCUGUGUAAAACAUAGUAGGGAGGUAUGGAAGAGGUCGUGGUGGACUAGUUACACUAAAAUAUUUGACCUUAACUGAAUGCUUAUUCUAAACCUAACCAUGUUGUCACACCAUUACAAACGGGAUUAGCAAUGAAUUUAACCAUAUCAAAGAAU
ensembl:lncRNA